rnacentral:rRNA from 1 species
GAUGAACGCUGGCGGCGUGCCUAAUACAUGCAAGUCGAGCGAACAGACGAGGAGCUUGCUCCUCUGACGUUAGCGGCGGACGGGUGAGUAACACGUGGAAAACUACCUUUAAGAAUGGGGUAACUUCGGGAAAACGGGGGUAAAUCCGGAAUAUAUAUUUAAACGCCAGGGUCCAUAGUUAAAAGAGGUUUUUCUUGUACUUAUUGGUGGAUCCGCGCCGCAUUAGCUAGUUGGUAAGGUAACGGCUUACCAAGGCGACGAUGCGUAGCCGACCUGAGAGGGUGAUCGGCCACACUGGAACUGAGACACGGUCCAGACUCCUACGGGAGGCAGCAGUAGGGAAUCUUCCGCAAUGGGCGAAAGCCUGACGGAGCAACGCCGCGUGAGUGAUGAAGGUCUUCGGAUCGUAAAACUCUGUUAUUAGGGAAGAACAAAUGUGUAAGUAACUAUGCACGUCUUGACGGUACCUAAUCAGAAAGCCACGGCUAACUACGUG